UUUUGCGCAGCUAAAUCUCGCAAACAUUCGGUUAAAAUAACGUUCGGAUAUAUGAAUUGAGACGAAAUAACGUUCGGAUAAUAAAGGGUUCGUAUACCGGAGGUUAGGAUAAUCGAAGGUCUACUGUAUUAUUAAACAAUAUUAUGUAGUAAAUCUCGCUUAAGACGCUCCCGCUUAAGACGCUCCCGCUUAAGACGUUUUCUUGCAUAAGACGCUGUUUUCCGUCGGUCCCUAGAUAUUUUCUGUACUAGUCACUGUAAAAAUCACCU